UACAGAGGGGGCAAGCGUUAUUCGGAAUUAUUGGGCGUAAAGAGCUCGUAGGUGGUUCGGUAAGUCGGAUGUGAAAUCUCCAGGCUCAACCUGGAGGGGUCAUUCGAUACUGCCGUGACUAGAGGUCGGUAGGGGAGUGUGGAAUUCCUGGUGGAGCGGUGAAAUGCGCAGAUAUCAGGAGGAACACCCGUAGCGAAGGCGGCACUCUGGGCCGAUACUGACACUGAGGAGCGAAAGCGUGGGGAGCGAACAGG
rnacentral:rRNA from 1 species